UGUUAAAUAAUAUUAAUAUUUGAGGCUAGAUUACACCUCUAAUGCGAAGGAUCUUGCGAGUCUGUUCAGAGGCGGACAUGAGUGUGACACCGGACCGAGAUCGCGAACGGACCGGAACUGACGUGUGGCUGGCGUAAAAAAAGGUUUUGUAAACAUUCUGUCCAUUUAACUUAGCGCUGUCAUAAACACGGACCAUUUGGAAGACAUCGAUGUCAUCUUCCUUCUGUCAGGAGGAUCCAAGUGAAGCUACAGGAGUUUCAUUAACGUCAAUAACUUGGACCGAACAGUUUGUUUUGCUUGAUGAAGAGGAGGAAGGGCAGCCUGGAGAGAAAGAGAAGCCGGGUUGAGCCCACUUCCAUCAUCCACGUACCACAAGGAAGAUGAGGGGGAGAAAUUAUCCUACCAUUAAAGAGGUAGUACUGACGCAUUUAUGGAGAUGGGACAUGAGGGCCUUGUCUGCGUGCUCAAGAGAAGAUUCC